GAGGAAUAUUGGUCAAUGGACGGAAGUCUGAACCAGCCAAGUAGCGUGCAGGAUGACGGCCCUAUGGGUUGUAAACUGCUUUUGUAUGGGGAUAAAGUUAGGGACGUGUCCCUAUUUGCAGGUACCAUACGAAUAAGGACCGGCUAAUUCCGUGCCAGCAGCCGCGGUAAUACGGAAGGUCCAGGCGUUAUCCGGAUUUAUUGGGUUUAAAGGGAGCGUAGGCUGGAGAUUAAGUGUGUUGUGAAAUGUAGACGCUCAACGUCUGAAUUGCAGCGCAUACUGGUUUCCUUGAGUACGCACAACGUUGGCGGAAUCCGUCGUGUAGCGGUGAAAUGCUUAGAUAUGACGAAGAACUCCGAUUGCGAAGGCAGCUGACGGGAGCGCAACUGACGCUUAAGCUCGAAGGUGCGGGUAUCAAACAGGAUUAGAUACCCUGGUAGUCCGCACAGUAAACGAUGGAUGCCCGCUGUUGGUACCUGGUAUCAGCGGCUAAGCGAAAGCAUUAAGCAUCCCACCUGGGGAGUACGCCGGCAACGGUG
rnacentral:rRNA from 1 species